UGGUAGUGUAUUGGACAACCAUGGCAGUAACGGGUAACGGAGAAUUAGGGUUCGGUUCCGGAGAGGGAGCCUGAGAAACGGCUACCACAUCUAAGGAAGGCAGCAGGCGCGUAAAUUACCCAAUGCAGACUCUGCGAGGUAGUGACAAUACAUAACAACUCGGGGCCCUCACGGGCUUACGGGAUUGCAAUGAGCACAAACUAAAAACCUUAGCGAGGAACAAGUGGAGGGCAAGUCUGGUGCCAGCAGCCGCGGUAAUUCCAGCUCCACUAGCGUAUAUUAAAGUUGUUGCAGUUAAAAGGCUCGUAGUUGAAGUUCUGGCUGCGCACGGCCUCGGAAGCGAUUUCGGGUCGGUUUUGCCUGCAGCCAUCCGUCUGCGAACUGUUGCGGCCUUCACUGGCUUGCUUCAGGGAACAGACCCUUUACUUUGAAAAAAUUAGAGUGUUUAAGGCAGGCUCCGCGCCUGAAUACAUUAGCAUGGAAUAAUGGAAUAGGACGCUUGUCCGUUUGAUUGGUUAUCGGACUGGCGUAAUGAUUAAUAGGGACAGUUGGGGGCAUUAGUAUUUAAUUGUCAGAGGUGAAAUUCUUGGAUUUAUUAAAGACUAACUUAGGCGAAAGCAUUUGUCAAGGAUGUUUUC
rnacentral:rRNA from 1 species